rnacentral:lncRNA from 1 species
GGUUCAAUUGAUUCACCUGCCUUGGCCUCUGAAAGUGCUGGGAUUACAGGGGUGAGCCACUGCGCCUGGCCAUCCCUUGGUUUAGAAUACUAUGGUGCUCACCAGAUCUUCCCAACAGUCCCGGUCAGGGAGGGCUGAUGCCUCCCUCCACAAACAGCUAGCCCAAAGGGCUCUCAGCUUGCUGAGUCUAAAUUCUCACUUUAUGGAGAAAGAAAUCAAGACACGUGACCUGCCAAGGCAACAGAGCUGGGUAUCCUAACCUGAUUUCUGAAACUUCAUGGUUUGGUCCAGUAGGAGCUAUUUAGGGAAUCCCCAGUACAUGCCCUGCGUGUGCCUAGCUUGGCAGAGAAGGCCCCAGAAGUAGAAGCCAGGGCCCAGCCUAGAACCUAUUAAGUUGAAAACCCACGUAGAGAGACUGAUGGCUGGGUGCUGUGGCGUGUGCCUGUGGUUCCAGCUACUGGGGAGGCUGAAACAGGAGGAGGAUCCUUGGAGCCUAGGAGUGUAUGACCAGCCUGGGUGAUGCAGCACAACCCCGUCUCUCUUUUCUUUUGUUUUUUCGAGACAGAGUCUCGCUCUCUCACCAGGCUGGAGUGCAGUGGCACGAUCUCGGCUCACUGCAACGUCCGACUCCCUGGUUCAAGUGAUUCUCCUGUCUCACCCUCCAGAGUGGCUGGGAUUACAGGCAUGCGCCACCAUGACUAGCUAAUUUUUGUAUUUUUAGUAGAGACGGGAUUUCACCAUGUUGGCCAGGAUGGUCUCGAUCUCCUGACCUCGUGAUCCACCCACCUCGGCCUCCCAAAGUCCUGGGAUUACAGGCCUGAGCCACCGCACCCGGCUAACCCCAUCUCUUUGGAGACAACAACAACAACAACAACAACAACAACAACAACAACAACAACAAAAACCUGUUAUGAAGUCACCAGGAAGAGGUGGUCAAGUUGCAGUGAAAAUUGCACUUAAGGCUGGGUGCAGUGACUGACACCUGUAAUCCCAACACUUUGGAAGCCCGAGGCACGAGAAUCAUUUAAGCCCAGGAGUUUGAGAUCAGGCUGGGAAACAUAUCGAGACCCUGUCUUUACAAAAAAUUAAAAAAUGUGCCAGGUGUGGUGGUGUGCCUCUGUAUUCCCAGCUACUCAGGAGGACAAGGCAGGAGGACUGCUUCAGCCCAAGAGUUGGAGACUGCAGUGAGCCAUCGUCACGCCACUGCACUCCAGCCUGGGUGACAGAGAGAGACCCUGUCUCAAAAUAAAAAAAAAAAAAGGCAAAAGGUAAUCACAUUUAAUAUACUUGAGUUCCAACCUGUGGACGGACCCUGUGUGAAGUACUUUAAAUGCAUCAUCUCAUUUAAUCUUCACAACAGUUCAAUGAAGUCAGUUUUGUCAUUGUCAACUAAUGAGGAAACCAGAGGCCAGAGAAGGGAAGUGACUUGCCCUAACUUACACAGUUUAUCGCUUUAAGACUCAAACCAGGUUUCUCAGACUCCAAAGUCCCUUCGAGAGCCUGCUGGUUCCCUUCUCUGUUCCCCUCCCAAUCCAGCUCAGAGCUUCACCCUUCCCCAAGGAAAUCUGAGACCUGGAUGUGGAGUAGAAAAAGGAAGUGGCAGAAAAGGAAGAAGAUAACUGAUACUUGGGGAAAACUAUUAGUCCUGGGCAUGAGAUGUGGGCCACCUACCCGCAGGGGGAGUGACCAAGAGUGAGGAGAGUUUGAGGACCAGAGAAUCCCACAGGAAGGGGGAGAGCAAAUUCCAUAUUCAUCUAAACUUCACAGGCAGUGUGACAGCCAAGGGAAGGGGUGUGACGGUGGCGUUGGGGGCCUGAGCAAAAGCGAGGAGAGGGCGGGAAAGGACGGACCGGCGGGAGCGACAGGACAGCGCGACCCAGGCAAAGGGUAGGAGGCAGCCCCGGAAGAGAGGACCUGCGGGAGACGCGACCCAAGCGGCGCUUCGGGGCCUCCCGCGUAGUUGGCUAGCUUCUGGGCCGGCCCCAGGAGCCGGGCUUCAGGAGAAAGAGAAGGGUAGAGGGAUUCACUGCCCGACCUAAAGGGCCCAAGCCUGAACCCGAGACCAGAAACUAUCAAGACGGGCUCCAAAACUCCGGGACAGUUGUCAAGCAGCAGGUGGGGAAACUGAGGCCUGAAGUGACCGGGACUGCGGGGUCAUCUGACCGAUAAGGCCUGGGUUCUUCGUGUACUGGGCAGUCCUAACUCGCAGCCGCGCGUCAUCACCCGCAUUUCAUAGAUGAAAAAACUGAGUCUCGGGAAACUCACUCAAGGUCAAAAACUUUGUGAGGAGCAGAGCUCAUAAGAGCCCGCGGUCUCCAGAACCCCACAACAACAUCUGAAAAUAUGAGAGCAGCCGCCUCACCCGCAACAGGGGGAGCCCCUCCUGCCACCAGGGGACCGUCGCCGCCCCUCGCGAGAAG